AUUAUAGCACUAAAUAGGAACAACCAAAGGUCUUCUAUAUCAUUUAAAACUAAUACCAUGAUGACUAGACCUUGGUUAGGUGUUCUUAUAAUGGAUGAAGUGUGUUCUUAUAAUGGAUGUAAGUAUGGUGAACAGCAAGCAAAUAUUGAUUAUAUGUCAGUUACUGCCUUUUGCCUUUGCACGACUCCUUGUUUUUGGCACAUGAUACAAAGGCAGAGUACAGUAACUGCCAAACAA